rnacentral:lncRNA from 1 species
GCGAGCAUAAAAUUUGAAUAAUCUUGUUAAGCACCAUUACAACGGAAUUUGACAGAAAAAUGUAGCUUGCGAAGUCACAAAUGCUGUAGAUUUCAUUUGGAGCCUUGAAAUGAAGAAUCAAAUGAUAGACAAUACGGACAACAAUUAAUCUGACAUUUCAGCCAAACGGAAUUCAAGCACACCCUUGCAUUAUUCUUAUUGAAGCAUCAUUACAAUUUAACAAUCGAACUAGUGCAAAUGUUUCACAGCAGCAAUCUUCUUACAAUGAUGAUACUGCGAUCGGUUCAGAGUGAAACUUCAAAACUUUAUUUUUAAUCAAGAGCAAAUAGAAAUUAAUUAAGCUAGCCGUAAAUGUCAAUGCGGAUAGGCCUCAAUAAUGGCAGGUAAAGCCGGCAGGUUGAUGAUGUUAUGGCGGAGGAAUCCUCCUUCUUCCAAUAUUUGCUUCCAUUCUUUUUCAGUCCUUUCCUUCCCACCCCUUGUGUGAGCAAACAUACAUAGAUCAAAUAAGUAGGCCGUGUCGCCAAAUACGUCGUUAUCAUCUUCUUUUACAACGAUUUCGACUAACACAAGCUUUCCAGUUUUCUCCGGAAUUGCUUUUCGGCAGUUUUUCAGAAUCCUGACACAGGCUUCGUCAUCCCAAUCAUGCAAUAUCCACUGUAUGUAAGUGUAUGGUUAGAAAUAGGCAACUUACAAUUUUAUACAGCAUGUACAUGCUGCAGGGGAAAAAUCAGGUUUUUAAAUUUUUAUAAAACCUUUUGAAGAUCGCUCUCAUAUAAUAUAUAAGAAUUCGUAUUCUAGAAAUCGUACCUUGAAAAUCCGAGUUGGCUUUUUCCGCUGAAGUAAUUUAGGCUCCUAGAUCACGAUCCGCCACCACCACUCCUGUUAGAUCACGAUCCGUCACCACCACGCUUGUUAGAUCACGAACUGUCACCAAUGAUCUUCCAGGUUAUGACUCAGGUUCGAUCUGCACUUGACGUGUGGGCGCCGUUAUCACUACCAAAGCAACUAGCACGAGAAAAUUUUUCUCUCAACAAUAGAGAGAAAAAUCUUAUUCUCCGAUUUGUAUAAAGUGGCCUCUCCCUUUCUUUAGAGAAAAAUAAGCCUUUUAUAUCACCCUUUAAUGAAAACCCUAGGCUCCAAAAAUCCAAAAAAUAAAACCCACGUUAUUUGCUUUUUCAAUAAGGGACCCACCUUGUAAAAUAACAUAAGGCCCUUACACAAAAGCUAAUUAAAUGGAGCCUCCCACUAAAUGAUAUAUUUAGGCUUUUGACCCAAAUAGCUAGUUAUCUUACUUAUUAGUCCAGUAGUGGUGCAGUCAAUUAAAUGAGCUAACCCGGGGAUCAUUUGGGAACAUACAAUAGUGGCUACAAUAAUUAGGCCUGUAAUUAAACUAGCCCAAUUAUUUAAUUCCAAAUCUACUCCACUAAAAGAUUGGAACUGACUUCCAUAAUUGUAUGCUCGAAUAAUAAUUCGUCCCAAGCCACAUUGAUUUCUUUACUGCACAAUCCUUUGUACCACAUCGUUAAUUAAAUUGAUAUCUCAACUGUCCAAUCAAUUUAAUAACAUCUUAUUCCUUGAUCCUUACUGGUUUUCUCUAAUGAUCAUUUCAACAUACUAAAUAUGUUGACACACUCUGGCCAGAGAAUUCUAUGAUCAAGUACCGAAAACCUAUCAAGAGAUGUGUUGUACAAAUUCUAUAUUGUUAAUCCAUAACUCCAAUACUCAUAAUUGCUUCCACCAAGAUACCGGGUAAUCUUGACCACAAGGAUGUGUCGUGCCCAUUGGUAACUCAAAUGAAAUAACAAUCACAAUCAUGAAAUCAUAAUUAACUCAAGAUUAAGAUUACAGUAAAAUCAACGCCUAUGAGAUUUAAUAAGUCUGACAGUUAUUACAAAGUUAAUUAAAUCUCAUAUGUGAUCCUGUUCAAUGUAGUCGCACUACAUCAAUAAAUUCAUACAUGAUUAAGACAAAUCAUUCAAUGAAUUUAUUACAGUCUAUACCUAAAUAAAGUGCCCCACUUUAUUUAUCAACUGCGAACUAAAUUUAUUUAAUCAUAAGAUAACUUGUAUUUAUGUCUUCUGUGAAUCCACAUGGUGAUCACAUAAAUACAUAUAAUAUGAUUAAAUGGACUUUAAUACAAAUAUUAAUGCAAUUAAGAUAUUUGAAUAAAAUACCUCAUUUAUUUUAUUAAUCAGAAAAACUGUUUAUUACAAUUAAAUAAACACAUAUGCUUUUAAAGAGCAUAUUUUCCCAACAAUCUCCCACUAGCUCUCAAAGCAUAUUUGGCAUCUCACGCAUGCCCAUGGAUUCUAAGUGCAAGUUAAAAGGUUUCCCAGGUAUGGCCUUAGUAAAAGGAUCUGCCAAGUUUUGCUGUGACGCAAUCUGAGUAACCUCCACAUCACCUCUCUGCACUAUAUCCCUUAUAAGAUAAUACUUCCUCUCAAUAUGUUUUUGUUUCUUGUGGUUCCUUGGUUCCUUAGAUUGAGCUACCGCACCACUAUUAUCGCAAAAUAGUUUAAGGGGUGCAGUUACAGCAGGUACCACCUCAAGAUCUUGUAGGAACUUGCGGAGCCAUACAGCUUCUUUUGCAGCUUCGGAUGCAGCCACAUAUUCAGCUUCAGUUGUGGAGUCUGCGAUACAAGAUUGUUUCACACUCCUCCAACUAAUAGCUCCACUUCCCAAUGUAAACACAUAGCCGGAAGUUGAUUUUCUGGAAUCCUUAUCUGACAUAAAGUCAGAAUCAGUAUAACCCACUGGAAUGAGUUCAUCACCAGAAUACACAAGCAUAUAAUUUUUAGUUCUUUUCAGAUACUUCAUUAUAUGCUUGACCGCAGUCCAGUGUUCAGGUCCAGGAUUAGAUUGAUAUCUACUAACCAUCCCUACCGCAAAACAGAUGUUUUAGGUGAUUGAUCCUUAGAGAAUGUAAUUCCAUGUCUGAAUGGUAAUAAACCAGUCUUGGAAUUUUCCAUGCUAAAUCUAGCCAAUAUCUUAUCGAUAUAGACCGCUUGAGACAAGGCUAAAGUUUUAUUCUUCCGGUCUCGAAGUAACUUGAUACCAAGAAUAUAACUUGCCUCUCCCAGGUCUUUCAUAUCAAAUUGUUUUGCUAACCAACUCUUUAUUGUAGUCAAUACUCCUAUAUUGUUUCCAAUUAGGAGAAUAUCGUCUACAUAAAGAAUUAGGAAGGCUACAUAUUUUUCUUGAAUUUUCUUGUACACACAUGGUUCAUCAAUGUUCUGAAAGAAUCCAAACGAUUUUAUCGCUUGAUCAAAUCUGAUGUUCCAUGACCGGGAUGCUUGCUUCAAUCCAUAAAUGGAUCUCUGCAACUUACAUACCAUGUGUUCUUGGCCUUUUUGUAUAAAUCCAUCUGGUUGCUGCAUGUAGAUGUUUUCUUCAAGAUGCCCGUUGAGAAAGGCAGUCUUGACAUCCAUUUGCCAAAUUUCAUAAUCUAGCACUGCAGCAAUGGAGAGCAGGAUCCUGAUAGAUUUAAGCAUAGCAACCGGAGAAAAAGUUUCCUCAUAAUCGAUUCCCUCUUUCUGAGUAAACCCUUUGGCUACUAAUCUUGCUUUAAAUGUUUCCACCCUUCCGUCUACUCCUCUUUUUCUCUUGUAGAUCCACUUGCAUCCUAUAGGUUUUACCCCAUUUGGUGCCUCUACAAGUUCCCAGACUUUAUUGGAAUACAUAGAUUCCAUUUCUUGAUUCAUGGCCUUUUUCCAAAAUUCAACAUCUCUAUCUAUUAGAGCUUCGUUGUAACUAGUGGGAUCUUGUACAUGUUCAUAUGAGAUAGCCGUAUAGGUUUCUCCCAAAAGCAUGUAUCUCGCAGGUAACCUAGUUACCCUCCCACUACGACGAGGUUCUAAAAGUGAUGGUUGUUCAGGGUUAAUCCUGUGUUGAUCAUCUGGUUGUUGCUGUUCUUCCUGUUCUGUAACAGGCAUUGAAAGCUGAGCAUCAACCUGAUCACCUGACAGUUCUUCAAGUAUUACCUUACUCUUAGGUUUGAAGUUAUUCAUAUAGUCUUCCUCGAGGGAAGUGAAAUGUGUGCUCACUAUCACUUUCCUAUCUUGAGGACUAUAAAAUAAACAUCCCCUUGUUCCUUUGGGAUACCCCACAAACAUACAAACCUCAGAACGUGAAUCCAUUUUGUCUGCCUUUGGUUUCAGCACAUGUGCUGGUGAUCCCCAAAUACGGACAUGUCGUAAACUUGGUUUGCGACCUGACCAUAAUUCUAUUGGGGUUUUAGGCACUGACUUAGAUGGAACUAAGUUCAAAAGGUAAACUGCAGUUUCCAGUGCUAAUCCCCAAAAAGAGAUUGGUAAUGACGAAUAACUAAGCAUAGAUCUCACCAUAUCCAAAAGAGUUCUAUUUCUUCUUUCAGCUACCCCAUUUUGUUGUGGUGUUCCCGGGGCAGUCAAUUGAGAUAUAAUCCCAUUUUCAACCAGAUACUCUUUGAAAUCUCCUGAGAGAAAUUCACCACCUCGAUCAGAUCGAAGUUUCUUUAUGUUCUUAUCUAAUUGCUUUUCUGCUCAGCCCUAUACUCUUUGAAUUUCUCAAGAGCUUCAGACUUAUGACGCAUCAGAUAAACAUAACCGUAUCUUGAGUAAUCAUCAGUAAAAGUGAUGAAAUACUCAUAACCUCCUCGAGCUUGUACAUUGAUUGGUCCACAUACAUCUGUAUGUACCAAUUCAAGUAGUACUGUUGCACGUACUCCUUUGGCCGAGAAUGGCCUUUUGGUCAUUUUCCCUUCUAAACAGGAUUCACAGAGUGGCAAUGAUUCAUUUUCUAAUGGACCCAAGAGCCCAUCUUUGAUAAUUCUCUGUAUCCUAUUUUGGUUUAUAUGACCCAAGCGUAAAUGCCAGAGGUAACAUUGGUUGGAAGAAAUAUUUCUUUUCUUAGAUAAGUGUGUAUGCUCAUCAUUAUUUAUCACUGUGUCAUGCAUAGAAUGGAUCAUUGGACUUAAAUGAUAUAAAUUAUCUUCCAAUGUACCAGAACAAAUAAGUCUCUUAUUUUGAAAAAUAGAAACAGAGGAUCCAAAAUUUACAGUGUACCAUUGCUUUGACAAACAAGCUACUGAAAUUAAAUUCCUCUUAAUGUCUGGAACAUAAAGACAAUUAUUCAAAACUAAAGUCUCAUUAUUAAAAGAUAAUAAAACAGAUCCAGUCUUCACUGCUGACACGAACUGUCCUGUCCCUAACUGCAGCUUGACGCUUCCUUCACUUAUUUUCCUGGUUUCCUGAAACCAAUAAAGUGAAUUACAAAUAUGAUUAGUUGCUCCUGAAUCCAACACCCAAGUGUCAAUAGGAUUCUGAACUAAACAGACCUCAAUUACAAAAAGAUUUCCCAUACCUGAUUUCACAAUCUUAGGGCAAUCCUUUUUCCAGUGACCUUUCUGUCCACACUUGAAGCAUUUGCCUUUCGGCUUGCCAUCUUGCUUGGUAGACGGUCUCUUUUUCCCAGCUUUCUUCUUACCUUUGCCUUUCGGUUUAGGCCCAGAAGAUGAACUUUUUUCAGUAAUAUUUAUGCUUCCCAGAGAUUUCUCAGCACGAUAGAUCUCUUCAGCAGAAUGGAGUUCGUUCAUCAAUUCAGUUAAGGUCAUGUUUCUUUUGUUCAUGUUAUAAUUGACCUUAAACUCCUUGAAUGUUUCUGGCAGAGAUUCUAGCACCAUGUCAAUCUUUGAGUUAUCAUCGAUUUGUGCUCCCUGAAUCUCAGCCUCAUUCAAAUAGUCCAUCAUUUUGAGGACAUGAUCACGAACUCUUGUGCCCUUCCCCAUUUUACUGUUCAUAAUUCCUUUCAGCGCUGCUUGUCUCGCAGAGCGAGUACUCUGCCCGAACAUCUGUUGGAGACUAUCUAUUAUUUCAGUGGCAGUCUCCAAGUUCUGAUGUUUGGUCUGCAGAAUAUUAGAAAUCGAGGCUAAAAUGUAGCACUUUGCCAUUUCAUUGGCCUUUUGCCAUUUCUCAUAAAGCCUCCUCUGAUUUCUAUGAGCAUCAUCCGCUGGAACUGGGGGGCAUGGCUGGGUUAAGACAUAUUUAUAAUUUUCAGCAGUCAGGACAAUGAAUAGAUUUCUUUUCCAAUCUAUAUAGUUCUCUCCAGUGAGUUUGUUUUGACUCAGAAUAAUAGUAAGUGGGCUCAGGGAAGAUAUUUUCUGAAAAAUAAAACAUCCAUGCAUAAAUAAUUUGAAAUAAUAUUCACAAUAAAUGACAAAAAUGCAUAAAACCAUAAAUGCAUUUUAAUUUAUUGUAACGAUAAUCUAGUUCCGCUUUGACAAGCUAUCCGGUGGGGAAGUCAUGUCUAUACUUACUAGACCCAAUUACCCAUUGGAUUAUUUACUUUCAUGUAGAGACAUGAUAAAUAACUAUCGUUAUCCUUUUGGGCCUAAAUUUGUUAACAGAGCUUCGUUGGGAAGAUUAAUAACAAAUUUUAGUUGAGUGUAUAACUAUUGUUUCAAUCUAGAUAUUUUUCAUUUCAAUAGUCACCGUUGGGGUGAACAAUCGAUUGAAAAAUAUUUUAAUUUUAUCUUUGAAGAAGUUCAUCAAAUAAAAUAUCUAAUAUAUAUACCCUCCGAAGGGAGCAUCACCGUAUCAUGAAGUCGAGGUAUAUAUAUAAUUUUAUUAUUGAACUAACAAUGGAGCCCGUGGGAAAAUUAUCUUAAAUUUUCCCUCUCCCACUUAAUAUUUUAAAAUUGGUUUUUCCUUUUUAAAACAUACAUAUUGUUAAUUGCAUGCUUCCUAUAAUAUUAUCUAGAUGAUAUCAAAUAUUAUUAAGCAUAUGCAAAUUUCAAACAAUAUAAUGAGAUUCAUUAUUAAUGAAUGACAUGUAUCAUUAUGCAUAGAGUGGCACUACCUAUUCUAUAUGACAUGUUAUCAUGGUAUGUUAUCAUCCAAAACAUAACAUAUAGAAAAACAAUUAAAUAAUCUUAAUUCAUGGCUUUCCUAAUAAUGAAAAAUACAUUAACCCUAAGCCUAAUCUUCAUUGGGCUUCUUGUCAAUGUCCAUCUUCCAUAAUCUUGUCUUUGUUAAUGGACUAGGGGAAAUUAGGCUUUUAAAUUUAUAAUUGGUCCAAUUUUAAUUUUGAAAAGAAAUAAAUAAAUAAUUAAUUUUUUUUUUAUUAAAAUAAAACUUUUGGACCAAAAAUAAAUUUAAUGUAUUUAAUUUUGUCUAUGCAUUUUUUUUAAUCCAUUAAGCCCAAUUGAAAUUGGGCCUAAAACUAGGAUUCUUUAAGCCCAAAACGGUUUUUGGACUUAAAUGCAAAAAAUUAAAAACGUUUCUACCCAACUGAAAAAUAUGAAGCUAUAGGGACCUCCACGAUAAAAACCAUGGAACCCUAAAAUCACAUUUUUCUUUUCCUCUUCUUCCCCAGCCGCCACCAGCACAAAAACCCAGCCGUUGUUUACUGUUUCCACACCGGACAGCCGUCAUCGACGCCGGAAAGACGCCAACCAGAACGCUCCACGCCUCCAGCCCACGUUCACGCUGCUGCUUGGGCGUUGCAGCUGCUGCUCGCGCGCUGCAGUUGCUGCAUGUGCAGCGCGCGCUGCAGCUGCUGCGUGUGCAGCUUGCGCUGCUAGCAGCGUGGCUGCUGGCCGCUGUGCGUGCAGCGCGCGCUGCUGGCAACUUGUGCUGCUGGCCGCGCGCUGCUCGCGCAGCAGCGUAUGCUGCUGGCCGCUUGCUGCUGCGUGCGCUGGUUCGUUGCUGCAGUUUCCAGCAAGUUUCCGCAAUUUUCCAGUGAUGAUUCUUCAUUGAUUUACAAAAUUUUAAUUACAUUAAAAUAAAUCAAGAGGGAAACAUGGUGAUAAUAAACCACCCCUCUUGUUACAGAUCCAAACGAAAAAUACAGUAGAACAUCUAACCAUGAAUUAAGACAAACCAAAACAUGCUUUACUCAUAUAUUAAACAAAUAAUAUAUAUCUGAAUAAAUUGUGCCACUCUAAUACAUAAAUUUCAAGAAUGAUUUCAUACGAAAUUCUUAUAUAUUAAUAUGAGAUGUCUCUGAUACCAAUUGCAGGGGAAAAAUCAGGUUUUUAAAUUUUUGUAAAACCUUUUGAAGAUCGCUCUCAUAUAAUAUAUAAGAAUUCGUAUUCUAGAAAUCGUACCUUGAAAAUCCGAGUUGGCUUUUUCCACUGAAGUGAUUUAGGCUCCUAGAUCACGAUCCGCCACCACCACUCCUGUUAGAUCACGAUCUGUCACCACCACGCUUGUUAGAUCACGAACUGUCACCAAUGAUCUUCCAGGUUAUGACUCAGGUUCGAUCUGCACUUGACGUGUGGGCGCCGUUAUCACUACCAAAGCAACUAGCACGAGAAAAUUUUUCUCUCAACAAUAGAGAGAAAAAUCUUAUUCUCCGAUUUGUAUAAAGUGGCCUCUCCCUUUCUUUAGAGAAAAAUAAGCCUUUUAUAUCACCCUUUAGUGAAAACCCUAGGCUCCAAAAAUCCAAAAAAUAAAACCCACGUUAUUUGCUUUUUCAAUAAGGGACCCACCUUGUAAAAUAACAUAAGGCCCUUACACAAAAGCUAAUUAAAUGGAGCCUCCCACUAAAUGAUAUAUUUAGGCUUUUGACCCAAAUAGCUAGUUAUCUUACUUAUUAGUCCAGUAGUGGUGCAGUCAAUUAAAUGAGCUAACCCGGGGAUCAUUUGGGAACAUACAAUAGUGGCUACAAUAAUCAGGCCUGUAAUUAAACUAGCCCAAUUAUUUAAUUCCAAAUCUACUCCACUAAAAGAUUGGAACUGACUUCCAUAAUUGUAUGCUCGAAUAAUAAUUCGUCCCAAGCCACAUUGAUUUCUUUACUGCACAAUCCUUUGUACCACAUCGUUAAUUAAAUUGAUAUCUCAACUGUCCAAUCAAUUUAAUAACAUCUUAUUCCUUGAUCCUUACUGGUUUUCUCUAAUGAUCAUUUCAACAUACUAAAUAUGUUGACACACUCUGGCCAGAGAAUUCUAUGAUCAAGUACCGAAAACCUAUCAGGAGAUGUGUUGUACAAAUUCUAUAUUGUUAAUCCAUAACUCCAAUACUCAUAAUUGCUUCCACCAAGAUACCGGGUAAUCUUGACCACAAGGAUGUGUCGUGCCCAUUGGUAACUCAAAUGAAAUAACAAUCACAAUCAUGAAAUCAUAAUUAACUCAAGAUUAAGAUUACAGUAAAAUCAACGCCUAUGAGAUUUAAUAAGUCUGACAGUUAUUACAAAGUUAAUUAAAUCUCACAUGUGAUCCUGUUCAAUGUAGUCGCACUACAUCAAUAAAUUCAUACAUGAUUAAGACAAAUCAUUCAAUGAAUUUAUUACAGUCUAUACCUAAAUAAAGUGCCCCACUUUAUUUAUCAACUGCGAACUAAAUUUAUUUAAUCAUAAGAUAACUUGUAUUUAUGUCUUCUGUGAAUCCACAUGGUGAUCACAUAAAUACAUAUAAUAUGAUUAAAUGGACUUUAAUACAAAUAUUAAUGCAAUUAAGAUAUUUGAAUAAAAUACCUCAUUUAUUUUAUUAAUCAGAAAAACUGUUUAUUACAAUUAAAUAAACACAUAUGCUUUUAAAGAGCAUAUUUUCCCAACACAUGCAUGAUAAUAAACAAGUGUCGUCACAAUGGAGGAUAAGUGCUUUUAAUUUCCUUUCGAAUCCUAAAUACAGCUAAUUUGGAUUCCUUUUUAGCUGUUUUUGGCCAAUGGCCACCCCCUCCAAAGUGUUUCUAAAACCCCCCCCCCCCCCCUCUUUUAUUAAAGUCGAAAUAAAGCCUGUAGGGAUUGGGUUAAAAACAGCAAGUGGAGUGCUUAGGCAAUUAAGUAUAUAUUAAUCAAUUUUAUUGUAGUUUUUAAUGUUUUUAUAUGAUGAAGAUAAAUUAUGCUAAUUUAAAGAAAGU